rnacentral:rRNA from 1 species
CCUACGGGAGGCUGCAGUAGGGAAUUUUCGUCAAUGGGCGGAACGCUGACCGAGCAACGCCGCGUGAAGGAAGAAGGAAUUCGUUCUGUAAACUUCUGUUAUUAAGGAAGCAAGACGGAUGUAGGAAAUGACAUCCGAGGGACGGUACUUUAUGAGAAAGCCACGGCUAACGACGUGCCAGCAGCCGCGGUAAUACGUAGGUGGCAAGCGUUAUCCGGAGUUAUUGGGCGUAAAGAGGGAGCAGGCGGGAGCACAGGUCUGUGGUAAAAGACUGAAGCUUAACUUCAGUGAGCCAUAGAAACUGGGCAGCUAGAGAGCAGGAGAGGUACGUGGAAUUCCAUGUGUAGCGGUGAAAUGCGUAGAUAUAUGGAAGAACACCAGUGGCGAAGGCGACGAUCUGGCCUGCAACUGACGCUGAGGCCCGAAAGCGUGGGGAGCGAAUAGGAUUAGAUACCCGAGUAGUC